UUGUUCCUUCUCCCAGUGAAAAAUCUUUAUGUCCUCAAGCUCAAGCAUACCGCCACCACCAGUCUCAGCCCAACGCUCUACCUCAACAACUCACCUCGUUGUUUACAUUUUUGUUCUUUGGUCGUCGUCCAUAGAAAAGAAUCCCCAUCGUCAGGUCGUUUAUCUACUCCAAGCUGGCGUCUGUGAUAGGGUGAGGCAGCCAGGCAGGUAUGGUCUUUGGGCUCAUGUUGUGCUGAAUGGGGCAGGGUAGUUGUGGGGGGGGAAGCGCUCGUCUUAUGCUUGUUGAGAUUCGGCUGGGUGCAAGCAGCCAGGGCCUUGCAGCCAGAAAUUGUUCGUCCUGUAUGUUUGUGUGGAGAAGAAGUGGUGUGAGUAGAAAAGGAACAGCGAGGGGGUUGAUGCUAAUUUGUGUAGAUGUUCGUUUUCUUUUUCAGAUUUCUUCUAAGACCUGAAAAGUGCUAAGAUAUGAAAUCAGUUUGUUGGGUUCACAAACAUGAGUUCUCUAUGUUAAAAUAUUUGUUCUAGGUUAACUGAUACUUCUCUGUAUAAGUUGUGUUAAUGUUAAACAUAAUAAUACUUCUUUAAUCUAUUACAAUAAAUCUAAAGCACCAACAAUCAUAAAAUGUUAUGAGCACCUAGCUUAUGAUGAAUGGUUGAGUUGCUUCUAUUCGUAUCCUAAAUUUAGGUGUCCGAAAGGGCUAAGCCUAUGUUUCAUUAAGUCUGUGGAUGAUUACCUAGCUUAGGCGUUUAUAGGUCGUGUCUAGGGUUAUUAUUUUCUUGAGAUUUGAGCAAGCCCGGUUAAACCGAACGAACAUGAUUAUUGUGCUAGCGAGUCAUAGGUAUAUAGGAUUUACGUACGAAGUUUGUGAUGCUUUUUAAUCCUCUUCGGUAUAAUGAUAAUUAGUCGUGUGCUAUUCCUGUCUAUAUGCAUUCAUGUGCAUUAUGCAUUUCAUUUAGGCACGAUAAUUAAUCACGUGAUGCGGAAGACGACCCAAGUCGACCCCAGGAUAAUGCAGAGAUUGGACAUCUCCGCAAGACGAUGUUGUCAGUCGGAUAAAUCUGAAGAUGGAUAAUCUAAACAAGUGUGAGACCAAAAGCUGAUUGCCAAGUGGACGCCACCUAACAAACACUAACGUAGUGUUUAUUCCAGGCAAGCCUCGGUGCAUGCAACCCCUUCCUUGUGUUUUUAAAUAAUUUUUACACACUUUAAGUCUAGCGAAAUGUGCAUUAGGUUUAUAGGAGUUGCUUGGAAACCCUUUGAUGCAUUGUCUACCUUGAUAUCCAUACCUUUAUAGAUACUUCUGAUGAAGUAUCAAAAUAUGAUUUACAAAAAUUCUUAUCCCUGCUUAGAUCUUAUGGAUAGAGGUUGUCCUUUGCGUUAAUGCCUAGCUCAGGGGUUAUCUUGAGGAAGGAUGGCUUCUGCCUGCAAGAAUAUUUUCAUUGGGAGCAAUGGUGGGAUCUUACUGCAAAGUUCCCUAUAAUGCUCUUUUCAUCCUAAGGAAUACAAACAAUCCUAAGGAUGGAAGUACUUAAAUCGGGACUUGGGCUAGGAACAUGUGAUGUUCUACCGAGGUUGAUUAAGGAUUAUACUUAAUGUAGUCUUGAUGAUCGAGGAUCUUUUAACCGGUCACAUGCCUCGUCAUGGGUAAGCUUUGCCUCGGGCAGACUAAUACCAGAAUAAGAUAGCACACAAUGGGAGUGGAGAGAUGGCGAGAGUAGCGUGUACCCUCCGUGGCAAGAGGCUGGACGGUGGUGUAUCUGUACUCUCGGUUGGCGUGAACCUGAUCUGGUCUUAAGAACCCCGAUUGCAAGUUGACAUAUGCAAGGGUUAAGUGCUACAUAUGUCGUGUGAUUGGAGAUCCCUAGCUAGGUAUUAAUCGAUUCGGAUCGCCGUUACUUCUCGGACAUGAAGACUUGGUCAUUGACCUGCAAUCUAAGUCAUGGAUGGAAUCUUAAUGAGAAAAAAUCAUGUUGGAUUGAUUAAUGUGAUGGUGAAAUUAGACUAGAUGCAAACAAGGUCUAUUAAUACUUAAUCUAGCAUUAAAAUGUUGAAAGUAAGGACUCACUUUAGUAAGCUAUUUCUGCAAAAGUCUCUAAGUUGAUUCUUGCUAAAGCCUUUUCCUUGAUUCCUAUUUAACCAACAUAUCCUUGACAGUCUUUUCUUUAGUCGGGUAAGUCUUGCUUUGUACUUGCAUACUUAGGGUUUUACCCAUUGUUGGUGCAGGUUACGAGUCACUUGAUUGUGAUUGGUGUUAAGCGCCGGUGGGCACGGCCUUCUUAUAAGUCUAAGUACUUCUUCUAGACUUCUUAUUGAGGAUGGUCACUUAAGCUAGCAUAUAUUUCAUACUUAUAAUAAUUUUAUAACAUUUCAAAGUUUAUUGCUUUGAAUCACUUUGUAACCACACCGAUAAAUAUAAUGUAAAUUUGUUGAAACUUGUAACUUUUUGUAAUAAAGAAAUUCCACUGCAAAAUGUUGGUGUGUGAUUUGUGUUUACUUAAUCUUGCGAUCUUGGUUUUAAGUGGUUUAUCCAGGGUCCUUGGGACACUCAGACGGAUCCUGUUAAGUUAUUUGUUGCACAUGCAUAGCCAUGUGAGGUCUUUGAGACAAGGGCAGGUGCAUGUGGGCCCAAUAACUUGGGAGGUUCUACCACACACCACCCCUCCGACCGCAAGCCCAUCUCAUCCCAAAUUCGCGACACACUCGAGCGAUCACUAUAAAUUGAGUGUUCCGCCUGCUCCGCUAUCUUGUUACGAAGCCAGUGCACCGCUCCUCACUGCCGAUUAGCCACCACAACCCUUGAAUUCCUAUUUUCCCCCAAUUCGGUCAGUCGCGCCAUCGUGAGACACCUCGCCCUGGACAGCCAUCCACAGGUCGGUUCGUGCUUCUCUGGUUUGUGUUCUAGCAUCCUUAGGGUCUCCUGUUGCUCGUAGACUCGAUCAAUUGAAUGCUACCGCGCUAGGUCGACGGGAACAGCUCUGCCUGUCCUUGUUAUUCGUUGUCGUCGUGGACAGGAGGGAUUCUGGGUUAGAUUAGCUCAAUUAGGGCAUGGACUAGACUCGUCUGGGAUCGGGGAUGCUGAUCCGAUACUUAGUUUCGAUAGUUGUCGUUGUUUGAAGCAAAUCCUAGUAUGGGGUGGCCGGCGGAUGAGCGCGCCGUCGCUAGGGACUUGAUUUGUGAAGAAAUAGAACUACAGGGGCUUAAGUGCAAUGGUCAGAGAGACAUGUGAAUAGUGCUUAGGGAUUCUUUACCAGUUAUUUAAAACGCCAUAGGCCUCUAUGCAAAGCCGCGAGCGCGGGCGCGCGCAUGUUUCCCCUGUGCGCGGGCUGGUUUGGGCCAGAAUUGGCCCAACAAUAUUCAUGUUUUCUCUUUUUCUUUUUACUAGCAGAUUAGGAGAUUUGUAGAAAAUAGUAAAAAAUUGGUAAAAUCAUGAGACCAACUUUACCAGACUCCAAAAAAUCAUAUAGUAUUUAAUAAAAAUAGUUCCAAGAUUUUUAUCCCAAACCUAGAAUUAUGUAGCCUUUAAAGGAGUUCAAACCAAGCCUUUUAGAAUUUUAGAAAUAAUUUAGUAACUCCAAAAAUGGUAAAACUUUUUGGGUAGGCCUAGUAUGAUGAUUGAAGACUGUGGGUGAAGUUUGAAGUGAUUUGGACACUGUUUGAUCACAAACCCAAUAACUAGCCUCCUAGUGUUUAUCUGCUUAAUACUGAUAGAAUACCAACUUAGGAAACCCUAGUGAUUAGUGUGUACCAUGAAGCAAAGUUGUAUUCAACAUACAACUUAGUAUGUUUCUAUUAUGUAACUGCAUAUUCAUGGCAUCACAUAAGCAUUCAUAUACAUGUAUUGUCAUGUAUAGAAAAUGAGGAAGAAACUGUGAUUGAAGAAGUUGUCGCUCAAGCUGAGAAUCCUCCAGCCGAGAAUAACUUCUACUUCGACAUCUGUGGAGUAGACCCAGAACCUCCUGCAACACAAGGCAAGCCCCGGUGCAUUAUCCCCUUUCCUUGAUGUUUUAAAAACUUUAUCACCUUAUAUGAUGCAUUAGGUGGUAGGAGUUGUGUGCUAAACAAUUGAUGCAUUCCCUUCCUUGGAACUGAUUACCAUUCCUUGUCACUUGAUUUACAUAAAGUUUUCUAAUGCUUAGCUUUGCUGUAGAAAACAAAAUGUUUUGUUUUAAACAAAAGGUGAUGCUUCAUAUAGGAUGGGAAUUUUACAAAGAAAAGACUGAUGACGGUGAAUCCAUCAUGGCCGUGAUGGGUUCAACAUCUGAAAAGAUGUACCUCUGUUAGGUACCAAACUUUGGGUUGUAAAUGAUAAAGACGAGACCGGGUGUGUUACUUGCACGAGAAGGAAGUCUCGGUGUAGUGUCUCUGUCUGAGUUGAUUAAGGACCGAAUCGAUGUAGGCUUGAUGAUCGAGGAUCUUUUAACUGGCCACAUGCCUCGUCAUGGGUAAGCUUUUCCUCGAUCGGACCAAUACCAGAAAGGCCACCAUGCAAUAGGAGUGGAGAGAUGGUGAGAGUAGCGUGUACCCUCCGUGGCAAGAGGCUGGACGGUGGUGUAUAUGUGCUCUUGGUUGGCGUGAAUCCAUUCUGGUUUUGAGAAACCCGGUGGCGAGUUGACAUAUGCAAGGGUUAAGUGCUACAUAUAUCAUGCGGUUGGAGAUCCCCAGCUGGGUCUUAAUCGAUUCAGAUCGCCGUUACUUCUCGAACAUGAAGACUUGGUCACUGACUUACAUGUAGCAAUCCAGUGAACUGAUGGGAUGAUAAAAGACGACUAGUAUAGGCCAAGUGCCUGAUCUAGGAUAGAAAGAACUCUAGAUGUAGGUAACUACUUAACCUGAUAAUAAAAAUGGAUUUUUAAGGAUCCACUCAUAGUAAGCUUUUCUGCAAACAGAGUCUUUGAAUUUUUAUGAGCUUUACCUUGAUUCCUAAAAGGCAGCAUAUCCUUGAUAGUCUUUUCCUUUCACGGGUAAGACUUGCAAAAGUACACUUUGACCUCAUGGUUUUCGAACCCAUGUUAUUGUAGGUGAUGAAACAACCAAGUUCUGCUGUUUCUGCUCAAAGGUGGUGCCCAAUUAGGAGGAAAAACACUAAACUUAUUUGGGGAGGAUGUUUUGCCUCCCGGUAAUGUAAUAAUAAGUUCUGCACUCGAACACCCAGUUAUGUAAU
rnacentral:lncRNA from 1 species